GCGCUCACUUGGGCAUCACAUAUACUAAAAUUGGAACAAUACAGAGAAGAUGCGCAUGGCCCCUGCAAAAGGAUGACACACAAAUUCAUGGAACAUUCCGUAUUAAA